CCUUCGAUAGCUCAGUUGGUAGAGCGGAGGACUGUAGUUGGGUCUUGCGGGCAUCCUUAGGUCGCUGGUUCGAAUCCGGCUCGAAGGA
rnacentral:tRNA from 1 species